rnacentral:lncRNA from 1 species
UGCACAGCCUUCGAUGUUUCCUGACCUUCUCCAUCCUCAGAGAUGGUGUAAAAGGGAAGAUCACCAAGACACUGCUUAAUAGUUGCAAUUCCACUCUCAACCUCCGAAAGAGACAAACAAUACUCACCAAUUAUCCACAGAGCACAAGAACAAACCCUAGCAGCCCGAAUCUGAUAGAAAGUAUCCAAAAGCCUAGUGAUGAUAGAAACACGCAGCUUCGGGUUCGUCUCAAUAAUCUCCCGUACGAAAACAACCACAUCCAUAGCAGAUGCAACAUUCGUGUCUCCCAAGAAAUCCAUCAACAAAUGCACAACAGUACUCGCCACCUCCGGAAACUUGAUAGCACAAGUAUGAAUUGCCUGCACCAACAUCUGCCUAUACUCCCCAUUCUUCUCAUGCUCCCCGCUCUGCGUCUUAACAACCUCCUUCUUAAGCAUCAUAACAACCUGAUCAAUAUUCUUCGGCGUAAUAAGCUCAAGAGCAAUAUCAAUAGUCUUUCUCCUAAUAUCAUGAUUAGGAGUCGAUAACGCCCUAAGCACAUCCAUAACCAUAUCAACCAUAAUCUCCCUAUUAUCCCUCUUAAGCUCGUUAAGCCGAUCAAGCACAAUAAGCUUCACAUUGUUAUCACUCUGAGAAAGCAAUAACUGACAAUAAGUAUUCGCAGCCGCUUUAAUCGCGGUUGGUGCAGAACUAAGCGAAACAAGCGUACCAGCACAUUCAUAAACAACAGCAGUAGAAUUAGCACUCAACAAAGAAAUAAUAAUCUUAAUAUAUUUCCCUUUCUCCCCCUUAUUAUUCCUACAAACUUUCUUAAUCAAUUCCAACACCACCAUUUGUAACUGUUCCCCCCAAUCAAUAAUCCUAUCAAUAUUUGUAAAAAGAUAAUUCACAGCACGAUCUUGAGCACACGAAAACAGCAUUAAAAACGCGUUCCUCUUACUCGAAGCAUCUUGCUCCGAAACAAGAAAUUUCUCAACAAUCUCAGGAGCAGAAUCAAGUAACUGUUCCCCUUGAGGAAGCUUAUAAACAGACAUAACAGCGAGAACAGCAUUUCGCCUCACGAAAGGAUGACGAUGCUCCAGAUUUGAUAAAAUCGAAGGAAUCAACGGUUCAACGAUCUCAGAUUCGUUAAUUCUGCAAAGAAACCGUAAAGUAACACCGCGAAUGAAUUCAUUCGGGGAUUGAAGAUUAUUACGAAGAUUUUGACAGAUUAGGAU